rnacentral:rRNA from 1 species
GAGUUUGAUCAUGGCUCAGAUUGAACGCUGGCGGCAGGCCUAACACAUGCAAGUCGAGCGGAUGAAGGGAGCUUGCUCCUGGAUUCAGCGGCGGACGGGUGAGUAAUGCCUAGGAAUCUGCCUGGUAGUGGGGGAUAACGUCCGGAAACGGGCGCUAAUACCGCAUACGUCCUGAGGGAGAAAGUGGGGGAUCUUCGGACCUCACGCUAUCAGAUGAGCCUAGGUCGGAUUAGCUAGUUGGUGGGUAAAGGCCUACCAAGGCGACGAUCCGUAACUGGUCUGAGAGGAUGAUCAGUCACACUGGAACUGAGGACACGGUCCAGACUCCUACGGGAGGCAGCAGUGGGGAAUAUUGGACAAUGGGCGAAAGCCUGAUCCAGCCAUGCCGCGUGUGUGAAGAAGGUCUUCGGAUUGUAAAGCACUUUAAGUUGGGAGGAAGGGCAGUAAGUUAAUACCUUGCUGUUUUGACGUUACCAACAGAAUAAGCACCGGCUAACUUCGUGCCAGCCGCCGCCGU